CCUUCACCGCCAAGAUUUUUGAAGACAUCCAAGUUCCAUUUUUUUUUCUUUUUCCUUCUUCAAUUUGCAGAGAACUUCUAAGAGAGAGUUUGGAAGAAGAAGAGAAAUUUUACUAGAAUUUUUAGGUUGAAGAAGAGGAGGAGAACUCAAGCAAAGUGUAUCCAUGGCUGAAUUUUAGUUCAUUCUGCACAUCACUGGUUUUUAAUUCGGUUUGAACUCUUCAAAAGGAAUUAAGAGGCCGAGAAGAAUUAAACCGAGCUUAUAGACCAAGGAUCUAGCCCAAGACUGUAGAGAUCGAGUUCCCGGUGCCUGAUAGACUGCCUUAGUCUGCGGAAGCUUCAUUAUCGAUUGCCAGUACGUGUUUUGAGUUGGGCAUAGAGUCUGUUGUGUUGUGAUGUAUAUACACCCUUGUAUGUUAUAGAUACUCCACAGUUUGUAUAAGCUUUAGGAGCUGUAGUUGUGUAAAUUUUGUUGGUUAUAUUUUGAUUAAGGUGUCUUUAGGUUUA